UUACCUACUCUUGACAUCCAGAGAACUUAGCAGAGAUGCUUUGGUGCCUUCGGGAACUCUGAGACAGGUGCUGCAUGGCUGUCGUCAGCUCGUGUUGUGAAAUGUUGGGUUAAGUCCCGCAACGAGCGCAACCCUUAUCCUUUGUUGCCAGCGGUUAGGCCGGGAACUCAAAGGAGACUGCCAGUGAUAAACUGGAGGAAGGUGGGGAUGACGUCAAGUCAUCAUGGCCCUUACGAGUAGGGCUACACACGUGCUACAAUGGCGCAUACAAAGAGAAGCGACCUCGCGAGAGCAAGCGGACCUCAUAAAGUGCGUCGUAGUCCGGAUUGGAGUCUGCAACUCGACUCCAUGAAGUCGG
rnacentral:rRNA from 1 species